GACGAACGCUGGCGGCGUGCCUAAUACAUGCAAGUAGAACGCUGAAGCUUGGUGCUUGCACCGAGCGGAUGAGUUGCGAACGGGUGAGUAACGCGUAGGUAACCUGCCUGGUAGCGGGGGAUAACUAUUGGAAACGAUAGCUAAUACCGCAUAAGAGUAGAUGUUGCAUGACAUUUGCUUAAAAGGUGCAAUUGCAUCACUACCAGAUGGACCUGCGUUGUAUUAGCUAGUUGGUGAGGUAACGGCUCACCAAGGCAACGAUACAUAGCCGACCUGAGAGGGUGAUCGGCCACACUGGGACUGAGACACGGCCCAGACUCCUACGGGAGGCAGCAGUAGGGAAUCUUCGGCAAUGGACGGAAGUCUGACCGAGCAACGCCGCGUGAGUGAAGAAGGUUUUCGGAUCGUAAAGCUCUGUUGUAAGAGAAGAACGAGUGUGAGAGUGGAAAGUUCAC
rnacentral:rRNA from 1 species